UCCGGGCCAGGAUCCGAGAGCCCGGACUGGAGAGUCAACUUUUAUAACACUGUUACUGGGAAUACCUGACUUACUAAGCUUUUACUGAACACUUUAAUUUUGGGAGUACAAUUUCUAAACUCAUGAAAUAAUCUUCAUGCAACAAGAUGUUAUUUUAUCAAAUUUUGGUAUUACAUGCUCAUUCUUAACUUUUACAAAUUUUAAUUAACAGAUUUCUGAGAGAGCAGACACCAUCUUAUUUCUGUUGAAUUAUAUUUAGUAACUCAAAAGGCAUUUACCAAGCUGUCAGAAGCAGCUUCAUUUAAAAGAAAUAAAAUUUCUAGUCCUGCCUGAAGUUUAAGCUAGCCCAUGACUACUCAAGUGCAACUGUAUUUCCCAGAAUUAAAGCAG
rnacentral:lncRNA from 1 species